rnacentral:rRNA from 1 species
GACGAACCACACGAACGUUAUUCGGAAUUACUGGGCUUAAAGGGUGCGUAGGCGGCGCAGAAAGUAGGGUGUGAAAUCCCUCGGCUCAACCGAGGAACUGCGCCCUAAACUACUGUGCUCGAGGGAGGUAGAGGUGAGCGGAACUUAGGGUGGAGCGGUGAAAUGCGUUGAUAUCUACAGGAACUCCGGUGGCGAAAGCCGGCGUGCUGGACCUCUUCUGACGCUGAGGCACGAAAGCUAGGGGAGCAAACGGG